GCCUGCCGGCCUGUCGCGGGACUCUGGGUUGACCGUCGACGUCUUAACACUGUCCGCAUGACUCUUGCUCACCUCUCCUCUAUUACUAUUCAUCGUUUAGGGGCUACAUUCGUCCUCUUCGACCCGCAUCGCUGCCCUCUAUGGCAUCUCCUUCGGAGCGGUCCUCUUCUCUCUCACGGCAGAUGUAGAGGAGCGCUGUUCACCCCUCGCGGCUUUCUCUCUCCCUUUCGCGCGCGCAUCGGAUGGAGCGGAGCCGGCUUCGUUGCUGACGACGGCGGCGGCACAUCAACGGGUCUUGUGUAGCCGAGCCCCCUCGAAUGCGUGUCGAGCUUCACCGAGCUUGGUGAAGAUGGAUCUCUCCACGCGAUUCCGUCGAACUGAGCAAUGCGUCAUGUUCAUAGCAGAAAUGUGUGUGUUCGGUAUGUGAGACUUGAGUAUUUGAGUAUUUCUAUGUUUCCAGAAAUCAUGCAUUAGGGGCAUGGUACACUUGAAGCAAGUUGGACAACACAUUCUCUGCUCAUUUUAUUGAAUUUGAGUCAGAAAACUAA